CAAUAGCGUAUAUUAAAGUUGUUGCAGUUAAAAAGCUCGUAGUUGGAUUUGUGGCGUACGGUGUGUUCCGGGCACUUGUUGUCUGAGUAACCUGCUGUUGCCAUCCUUGGGUGGAACCUGUGUGGCAUUAGGUUGUCGUGCAGGGGAUGCCCAUCAUUUACUGUGAAAAAAUUAGAGUGUUCAAAGCAGGCUUAUGCCGUUGAAUAUAUUAGCAUGGAAUAAUGAGAUAGGACUUUUUUGCUAUUUUGUUGGUUUGCGCAAAGAGGUAAUGAUCAAUAGGGACAGUUGGGGGUAUUCGUAUUCCAUUGUCAGAGGUGAAAUUCUUGGAUUUUUGGAAGACGAACUACUGCGAAAGCAUUUACCAAGGAUGUUUUCAUUAA
rnacentral:rRNA from 1 species